GACGAACGCUGGCGGCGUGCUUAACACAUGCAAGUCGAACGGAAAGGCCCUGCUUUUGUGGGGUGCUCGAGUGGCGAACGGGUGAGUAACACGUGAGUAACCUGCCCUUGACUUUGGGAUAACUUCAGGAAACUGGGGCUAAUACCGGAUAGGAGCUCCUGCUGCAUGGUGGGGGUUGGAAAGUUUCGGCGGUUGGGGAUGGACUCGCGGCUUAUCCGCUUGUUGGUGGGGUAGUGGCUUACCAAGGCUUUGACGGGUAGCCGGCCUGGGAGGGUGACCGGCCACAUUGGGACUGAGAUACGGCCCAGUCUCCUACGGGAGGCAGCAGUGGGGAAUAUUGCACAAUGGGCGGAAGCCUGAUGCAGCAACGCCGCGUGCGGGAUGACGGCCUUCGGGUUGUAAACCGCUUUCGCCUGUGACGAAGCGUGAGUGACGGUAAUGGGUAAAGAAGCACCGGCUAACUACGUG
rnacentral:rRNA from 1 species